rnacentral:rRNA from 1 species
GACGAACGCUGGCGGCGUGCUUAACACAUGCAAGUCGAACGGAAAGGCCCUGCUUGCAGGGUACUCGAGUGGCGAACGGGUGAGUAACACGUGGGUGAUCUGCCCUGCACUUCGGGGUAAGCCUGGGAAACUGGGUCUAAUACCGGAUAGGAGCCAUUUUUAGUGUGAUGGUUGGAAAGUUUUUUCGGUGUAGGAUGAGCUCGCGGCCUAUCAGCUUGUUGGUGGGGUAAUGGCCUACCAAGGCGGCGACGGGUAGCCGGCCUGAGAGGGUGGACGGCCACAUUGGGACUGAGAGACGGCCCAGACGCCUACGAGAGGCAGCAGUGGGGAAUAUUGCACAAUGGGCGCAAGGCUGAUGCAGCGACGCCGCGUGGGGGAUGACGGCCUUCGGGUUGGAAACUCCUUUCGCUAGGGACGAAGCUUUUUGUGACGGUACCUAGAGAAGAAGCACCGGCUAACUACGUG